GAGGGUGUGGGUCGAGGCGGGGCGAGCAACUCAUACUUACCUGGCAGGGGAGAUACCAUGAUCACGAAGGUGGUUUUCCCAGGGCGAGGCUUAUCCAUUGCACUCCGGAUGUGCUGACCCCUGCGAUUUCCCCAAAUGUGGGAAACUCGACUGCAUAAUUUGUGGUAGUGGGGGACUGCGUUCGCGCUUUCCCCUGGUUAUCUGGGUUUGCGAAGAACAGAAACGGCUUUUCUUGCCCGCGUUGGCGCAAAAGCGAUUUUUCUGGACGUUCAGUUCUCCACAGUUACGCCUAUGGCGUCGGGACAGCGGUCUCGGCAGUGUCUUGGGGUUUGCUGUUUUGUUUUUUCUUUUGAUUCUUCUCUCGCGUUGUUUUCUUAAGGCGCUUUUCAACGCGUGCUCCUGGGCCCACAGUUUCAGCAUCGCCUAGUCCCGCGGGGGCUGGCUGGUUACGACCGCGAAACGCAGCAACGUUUUAUAGAGACCUUACUUUCACGGAAUCCGCCAAGCUCUAGAUAGCAGCCCCUUCUGUAGUACAGGAUUCCCAGUUGAUCCCAGAGACGCUUGGAGAACCGAUCUAACAUCUUAUUAGCUUUGUCUUUUUUCCGAAAAAUUUUUAGCGUUUGGUUUCCGAGACAGCAAGCGUGAGCGGGGAAGGAGCAGAGAAAGAGGGAGCCCCAGAAUCUGAAGCAGGCUCCAGGCUCUGAACUGUCAGCACAGAGCCAGAUCCGUGGCUCGAACUCACCAACCGUGAGUUCAGGACCUGAGCCCAAACCCCACGCUUUAGCGGACUGAGCUACCCAGGACCCCUGCAUUUUAGUUUUCUAACUAUACCCCCUGAGAGGUCACGAUCUCACAGUUUGUGAGGAUCCACCCACCAGUCUACCCCAUCGGCCUCCAACCUAGCCUGGUUCAGCCCCUUCUCACUUUAGAAGAAUGGGAUCAUUUUACAAACCAUCAGAAAAAGGUAAGUCAGGGGUAUGCACCUUAGUUUUCUCCCAUGCCUUCCUCUUCUGUUCUUCCAUCAUGCUUCACUCUGGUUCAAGGUGUAGGGGAGACAGAACUUUACUUUUACCCUGUUAGGGUCUCCAGCAGGGCCUGAGAAUUAAAUUGGACGUAAAACAGAAUAUCAGAAGGAAAGCAUACAGAUUUUUUCCAUGUACGUGGGAGACCCCAUAGUAACAUGAAAACCCAAAGAAGUGGCUAGGUGGGUCUCCAAGGAGCCCUGGUUCCUUUUUUUUUUUUUUUUUUUUUUUUUUUUUUUUCCAUUUUGUGUAUCUGGAGGCCAAGAUCCGGUGGUGCUUAGCGUUCACGGAUACUGAUGUGUGAUUGUAUUUAGGCCCUGCACCAGUUUUACUCCACGGAUUAUGAUCCAUUAUUUUUUUGUUUUAUUUAAAAAAAAUUUUUUUUUAACGUUUAUUUAUUUUUGAG